CUAACACAUGCAAGUCGAGCGGAAACGAAGAGGUGCUUGCACCUCUGGCGUCGAGCGGCGGACGGGUGAGUAAUGCUUGGGAAUAUGCCUUAUGGUGGGGGACAACAGUUGGAAACGACUGCUAAUACCGCAUGAUGUCUACGGACCAAAGUGGGGGACCUUCGGGCCUCACGCCAUAAGAUUAGCCCAAGUGGGAUUAGCUAGUUGGUGAGGUAAUGGCUCACCAAGGCGACGAUCCCUAGCUGGUUUGAGAGGAUGAUCAGCCACACUGGGACUGAGACACGGCCCAGACUCCUACGGGAGGCAGCAGUGGGGAAUAUUGCACAAUGGGCGCAAGCCUGAUGCAGCCAUGCCGCGUGUGUGAAGAAGGCCUUCGGGUUGUAAAGCACUUUCAGUAAGGAGGAAAGGUUAAGUGUUAAUAGCACUUAGCUGUGACGUUACUUACAGAAGAAGCACCGGCUAACUCCGUGCCAGCAGCCGCGGUAAUACGGAGGGUGCGAGCGUUAAUCGGAAUUACUGGGCGUAAAGCGUACGCAGGCGGUUUGUUAAGCGAGAUGUGAAAGCCCCGGGCUCAACCUGGGAACUGCAUUUCGAACUGGCAAACUAGAGUGUGAUAGAGGGUGGUAGAAUUUCAGGUGUAGCGGUGAAAUGCGUAGAGAUCUGAAGGAAUACCGAUGGCGAAGGCAGCCACCUGGGUCAACACUGACGCUCAUGUACGAAAGCGUGGGGAGCAAACAGGAUUAGAUACCC
rnacentral:rRNA from 1 species